UACGUAGGGUGCAAGCGUUAAUCGGAAUUACUGGGCGUAAAGCGUGCGCAGGCGGUUGUGGAAGACAGAUGUGAAAUCCCCGGGCUUAACCUGGGAAUGGCAUUUGUGACUGCACGGCUAGAGUGUGUCAGAGGGGGGUAGAAUUCCACGUGUAGCAGUGAAAUGCGUAGAGAUGUGGAGGAAUACCGAUGGCGAAGGCAGCCCCCUGGGAUAACACUGACGCUCAUGCACGAAAGCGUGGGGAGCAAACAGG
rnacentral:rRNA from 1 species